GCCCCGAGGUGAUUUACAUGUUGAAUUGCAAGUUCAAAGGAGCAGCUAGGUUUCUGCCGGGGCUUC
rnacentral:tRNA from 1 species